rnacentral:tRNA from 1 species
CAGGGAAUAGUUUAAGUAAAAUAUUAAUUUUGGAGAUUAAAGAUAAGUAAUUUCUUUUCUCUGA